UCCAUGCACUACUGUAAGUCGCUCUGGAUAAGAGCGUCUGCUAAAUGACUAAAA
rfam:Salmo salar isolate Sally breed double haploid chromosome ssa10, whole genome shotgun sequence.